UACAGAGGUCCCAAGCGUUGUUCGGAUUCACUGGGCGUAAAGGGUGCGUAGGUGGCUUGGUAAGUUCGAUGUGAAAUCUCCGGGCUUAACCCGGAAAUGGCAUUGAAUACUAUUGAGCUGGAGGUUUGGAGGGGGGGGACUGGAAUUCUCGGUGUAGCAGUGAAAUGCGUAGAUAUCGAGAGGAACACCAGUGGCGAAGGCGAGUCCCUGGACAACACCUGACACUGAGGCACGAAAGCUAGGGGGAGCAAAACAGG
rnacentral:rRNA from 1 species